GAUAAGAACGUAGCGAAAUGCGAUAAGUAAUGUGAAUUGCAGAAUUCAGUGAACCAUCGAAUCUUUGAACGCACAUUGCGCCCGGCAGUAAUCUGCCGGGCAUGCCUGUCCGAGCGUCAUUUCUACCCUCGAGCGAGUCCAGCAUCUAGGUGCUGGGCCUCGCCCGGCGUUGGAGCACUACGGGAAGCCCUGUGCUGUCCCCCGUAGGCCCCGAAAUGAAGUGGCGGUCCUGCCGCGGCGCCCCCUGCGUAGUAUAACAGCUCGCUUCGGGACCCGGUGGAGGCCUGCCGUCAAACCUAUACUCUCUAAGUUUGACCUCGGAUCAGGUAGGGUUACCCGCUGAACUUAAGCAUAUCAAUAAGCGGAAGA
rnacentral:misc_RNA from 1 species